rnacentral:pre_miRNA from 1 species
AUGUUACUCCCUCCGUCCGUAAAAGCUUGUCCCUCAAAUGGAUGUAUCUAGCAUCAAGUUAGUGCUAGAUACAUCCAUUUGAGGGACAAGCUUGGGACAAGUUUUUUCGGACGGAGGGAGUACUUA